ACGCUGGCGGCGCGCCUAACACAUGCAAGUCGAACGGAGUCAAGAGGAGCUUGCUUUUCUUGACUUAGUGGCGAACGGGUGAGUAACGCGUGAGUAACCUGCCCUGGAGUGGGGGACAACAGUUGGAAACGACUGCUAAUACCGCAUAAGCCCACGGAUUCGCAUGGAUCUGCGGGAAAAGGAUUUAUUCGCUUCAGGAUGGACUCGCGUCCAAUUAGCUAGUUGGUGAGGUAACGGCCCACCAAGGCGACGAUUGGUAGCCGGACUGAGAGGUUGAACGGCCACAUUGGGACUGAGACACGGCCCAGACUCCUACGGGAGGCAGCAGUGGGGGAUAUUGCACAAUGGGGGAAACCCUGAUGCAGCGACGCCGCGUGGAGGAAGAAGGUUUUCGGAUUGUAAACUCCUGUCGUUAGGGACGAUAAUGACGGUACCUAACAAGAAAGCACCGGCUAACUACGUGCCAGCAGCCGCGGUAAAACGUAGGGUGCAAGCGUUGUCCGGAAUUACUGGGUGUAAAGGGAGCGCAGGCGGACCGGCAAGUUGGAAGUGAAAACUAUGGGCUCAACCCAUAAAUUGCUUUCAAAACUGCUGGCCUUGAGUAGUGCAGAGGUAGGUGGAAUUCCCGGUGUAGCGGUGGAAUGCGUAGAUAUCGGGAGGAACACCAGUGGCGAAGGCGACCUACUGGGCACCAACUGACGCUGAGGCUCGAAAGCAUGGGUAGCAAACAGGAUUAGAUACCCUGGUAGUCCAUGCCGUAAACGAUGAUUACUAGGUGUUGGAGGAUUGACCCCUUCAGUGCCGCAGUUAACACAAUAAGUAAUCCACCUGGGGAGUACGACCGCAAGGUUGCAACUCAAAUGAAUUGACGG
rnacentral:rRNA from 1 species